CACUAUACUGUCAAAAAGCACCGUCCUUCGGAUGAGACGUUAAACCGAGGUCCCGACUCUCUGUGGUCGUUAAAAAUCCCAGGAUGUCCUUCGAAAAGAGUAGGGGUGUACCCCGACAUCCUGGCCAUCCCCAUAUAUAACUGCCUGUACAAUUAAGGAAAAGCUGCCAUUCAGGUCAGGGUAGUAGGGAAGUUGUGGCACUGAACGAUGUGCGGGACAAUUAGCAAUGGACCAAGAGUGCAUUUUGCGCAUUACACACCUUGGCCAGUUGGAUAUUUUGGCAAAGCUAUCAGUUCACCCCAAGUCAGCACUUGGAGAUAGGACUAGGGUGUGUCCUGUAAGGCCGUGGUGGGUGGGACACAGGCCACACCCUGGGUUGCCAAAAAAAAAAAAAACAACGUCGAACGUUAAAAAAAAGAAAAGCUAAAUGAAAUCUGAAAUAGUUAAAUUCAUAAUGAAACACUGUCAAAAACAUUUCUAAAUGAUGUAGCAAAACUAAUGCCCAGAUAUAAUUAUUUUAAAAUACGAAAUCUGUGAUGAAUUGGCCUUUUUGUCGUAUUGGUUCCUAGCUCUGGUGCAGCACUCUGGGCGGGACUGACCAGAUACGUGCCGAAAGCGCAGUGUGUUGUAGACUGCAUCCAGAAAACCCUUAACCGCCUUUUAAGGGCCUGGCACAGAUAUCAGUUCACCCCAAGUCAUCACUUGGAGAUAGGACUAGGGUGUGUCCUGUAAGGCCGUGGUGGGUGGGACACAGGCCACACCCUGGGUUGCCAAAAAAACCAAAAACAACGUCGAACGUAAAAAAAAAAGAAAAGCUAAAAAAAAAAAAAAGGGCGACGACGAACUAAAAAAAAAAGUAACUGAAAUCUGAAGUAGUUAAAUUCAUAAUGAAACACAGUCAAAAACAUUUCUGAAUGACGUAUCAAAACUAAUGCCCAGAUAUGAUUAUUUUAAAAUACGAAAUCUGUGAUGAAUUGGCCUUUUUGUCGUAUUGGUUCCUAGCUCUGAUGCAACACUCUGGGCGGGACUGACCAGAUACGUGCCGAAAGCGCAGUGUGUUGUAGACUGCAUCCAGAAAACCCUUAACUGCCUUUUAAGGGCCUGGCACAGAUAUCAGUUCACCCCAAGUCAGCACUUGGAGAUAGGACUAGGGUGUGUCCUGUAAGGCCGUGGUGGGUGGGACACAGGCCACACCCUGGGUUGCCAAAAAAAAAAAAAACAACGUCGAACGUUAAAAAAAAAGAAAAGCUAAAUGAAAUCUGAAAUAGUUAAAUUCAUAAUGAAACACUGUCAAAAACAUUUCUAAAUGACGUAGCAAAACUAAUGCCCAGAUAUGAUUAUUUUAAAAUACGACAUCUGUGAUGAAUUGGCCUUUUUGUCGUAUUGGUUCCUAGCUCUGAUGCAACACUCUGGGCGGGACUGACCAGAUACAUGCCGAAAGCGCAGUGUGUUGUAGACUGCAUCCAGAAAACCCUUAACUGCCUUUUAAGGGCCUGGCACAGAUAUCAGUUCACCCCAAGUCAGCACUUGGAGAUAGGACUAGGGUGUGUCCUGUAAGGCCGUGGUGGGUGGGACGCAGGCCACACCCUGGGUUGCCAAAAAAAAAAAAAAAAACGACGACAAGCUGAAAAAAAAAGUAACUAAA